rnacentral:rRNA from 1 species
UACGAAGGGGGCUAGCGUUGCUCGGAAUCACUGGCGUAAAGGGUGCGUAGGCGGGUCUUUAAGUCAGGGGUGAAAUCCUGGAGCUCAACUCCAGAACUGCCUUUGAUACUGAAGAUCUUGAGUUCGGGAGAGGUGAGUGGAACUGCGAGUGUAGAGGUGAAAUUGUAGAUAUCGGGAGGAACACCAGUGGCGAAGGCGGCUCACUGGCCCGAUACUGACGCUGAGGCACGAAAGCGUGGGGAGCAAACAGGG